rnacentral:rRNA from 1 species
CCUACGGGAGGCAGCAGUGAGGAAUAUUGGUCAAUGGCCGGAAGGCUGAACCAGCCAAGUCGCGUGAGGGAAGAAGGCCCUAUGGGUCGUAAACCUCUUUUGUCAGGGAGCAAAGGCGUCCACGUGUGGACGAGUGCAGAGCACCUGAAGAUAAAGCAGCGGCUAACUCCGUGCCAGCAGCCGCGGUACUAAGGAGGACGCGUGCGUUAUCUGGAUUGAUUGGGUUAAAGGGGGGCGUAGGCGGAGGGUCAAGUCAGCGGUAAAAUUUCGGGGCUCAACCCCGUCGUGCCGUUGAAACUGGCGCCCUUGAGUGAGUGAGAGGUAAGCGGAAUGCGUGGUGUAGCGGUGAAAUGCAUAGAUAUCACGCAGAACGCCGAUUGCGAAGGCAGCUUACCGGCGCUCAACUGACGCUGAGGCACGAAAGUGCGGGUAUCGAACAGGAUUAGAUACCCGAGUAGUC